GCCGAUGUAGCUCAGUUGGUAGAGCAGCUGCUUCGUAAGCAGCGGGUCGGAGGUUCAAGUCCUCUCAUCGGCU
rnacentral:tRNA from 1 species